rnacentral:rRNA from 1 species
CUGGUUGAUCCUGCCGGCGGCCACCGCUAUUGGAAUUCGAUUAAGACAUGCGAGUCGAGAGUCGCAAGGACUCUGCGGACCGCUCAGUAACACGCGGAUAACAUGCCCUUGGGUGGGGGAUAACCUCGGAAAACUGAGAAUAAUACCCCAUAGAUCUCCAAAGCUGGAAUGGUUCAAGAUCCAAAACUCCGGUGCCCAAGGAUUGGUCUGCGGCGUAUCAGGGUGUAGUGGGUGGAACGUACCCCCUAGCCUAUGACGCGUAAGGGCCUUGAGAGAGGGAGCCCUGAGAUGGACUCUGAGACAUGAGUCCAGGGCCUACGGGGCGCAGCAGUCGCGAAAACUUCACAGUGGGGGAAACCCCGAUGAGGGAAUUCCAAGGGGCAGCACAUGUGGGGUGGGCUGUUCUUUGGGCUAAAAAACCAGAGAAGUAAGGGGCGGNGUAAGACGGGUGGCANGCCGCCGCGGUAAUACCCGCGGGCCCAGGGGUGGGCNGAUAUUAUUGAGCCUAAAACGUCCGUAGCCGGUCUUGGAAAUGCCUUGGGUAAAUCGGACCAGCUUAACUGGUUCGAAGUCCCGGGGAGACUGCAAGACUUGGGAUUUCGGAGAAAGUCAGAGGGACUUCUUUGGGGGGUAGGGGGGAAAAAUUCUGUAAAUCCCUAGAGGGACCCCCCCGUUGGGCCAAAAGGCGUCCUGACUAGA